AUGAGUUUUCAGAUUAAGAUUCGCGAAUUUGACAGAUUUAAAACUGAACCGAUCGAGGAUUUUGGCUCCGAAUCAUUCACUGAUGUGGUCGGUGUUUCGUCUGAGAGACCUCCCGCCUUGUUUCCCUCCAAAAACACACACACAUUCUCUCUGUCUCUCUCUCUAUGACAGCGUUUCGCCCAAGAAGACUCCAGGAGCCAUCGUUGGACGGAUGAAACGCCGAUCAUCUCCCCUUCUGUUAGGGGUUUCCUCUUCCGUUUCUUUCACUGCAGGCGUUUGCGAAGCGCCUUCAUCUUAGAGCGGGAUCUUAUGCAUUAGGACUACGCAAUAUUGGCAAAAGAUGAAAGAAAAUGCAGACUAAUUAUGAACUGUAGAUGUGCUCAUCGGGCGUCCUUUUAGAUCGGCAAGUUUGUGUCAGGAAAGCUCGUGCAAAAGGAGGAAUUUUCUUUUCUUUUUCCCCCCUUUCCUCGUUAUAUUGAGAAUAAAGAGAAAUUUAUUCAUAAGUAGAAUUUGGCUUUGCGAUACUACUACUUAUUGACCGAAGCUUCAAGGGGGGAAAGCAAUUUUGUAUGCUGGUGCCCUCAAGUGCUUCAUACACCUAAGUUAGGUGGACUGGCCUGAUCAAGUCUAGAAUUCAAUGCCCGACGUAUGCCUCUGCUAUAAGGCCAAAGAAAUGGGAAUGUUUUCUCUGUGUGGCAGAAGAAAUGUACUGGGGGGUUAGACUUAUAGGACAACAAUGAAUGUGGCACAGCAAAUAUGCACUUUUUUGGUUUGCACCCCUGAUAAAAAAAAUGCCAGUUUCCCUUGGCAUGUAAACAACUGUAAAAAACCGGUAAACUUUUGGAAACAGUCCAUGUUUCUUUAUUUUUA